rnacentral:rRNA from 1 species
UGUGAAGAUGCAGUGUACCCGCGGCAAGACGGAAAGACCCCGUGAACCUUUACUAUAGCUUGACACUGAACAUUGAGCCUUGAUGUGUAGGAUAGGUGGGAGGCUUUGAAGUGUGGACGCCAGUCUGCAUGGAGCCGACCUUGAAAUACCACCCUUUAAUGUUUGAUGUUCUAACGUUGGCCCCUAAUCGGGGUUGCGGACAGUGUCUGGUGGGUAGUUUGACUGGGGCGGUCUCCUCCUAAAGAGUAACGGAGGAGCACGAAGGUUGGCUAAUCCUGGUCGGACAUCAGGAGGUUAGUGCAAUGGCAUAAGCCAGCUUGACUGCGAGCGUGACGGCGCGAGCAGGUGCGAAAGCAGGUCAUAGUGAUCCGGUGGUUCUGAAUGGAAGGGCCAUCGCUCAACGGAUAAAAGGUACUCCGGGGAUAACAGGCUGAUACCGCCCAAGAGUUCAUAUCGACGGCGGUGUUUGGCACCUCGAUGUCGGCUCAUCACAUCCUGGGGCUGAAGUAGGUCCCAAGGGUAUGGCUGUUCGCCAUUUAAAGUGGUACGCGAGCUGGGUUUAGAACGUCGUGAGACAGUUCGGUCCCUAUCUGCCGUGGGCGCUGGAGAACUGAGGGGGGCUGCUCCUAGUACGAGAGGACCGGAGUGGACGCAUCACUGGUGUUCGGGUUGUCAUGCCAAUGGCACUGCCCGGUAGCUAAAUGCGGAAGAGAUAAGUGCUGAAAGCAUCUAAGCACGAAACUUGCCCCGAGAUGAGUUCUCCCUGAGACUUAGAGUCUCCUGAAGGAACGUUGAAGACGACGACGUUGAUAGGCCGGGUGUGUAAGCGCAGCGAUGCGUUGAGCUAACCGGUACUAAUGAACCGUGAGGCUUAACCUU